ACGGCCUGUAAGUAUUGGGGUUUAUGGUCAUCCAUCACAUGAAAUCAGUAAAUAUACUUUAUUAGUAUCUGAGGUAAUGAUUGAAGACGAUAUCUCAUCUUACAACGAGUCAUCGGGCACCAGUUACAAAACUCGUGAUAGAAUUAGAGAUAUUUUGCUUUUUGCCAACUUGGAUCUAUUGUUUGAAUUGUUGUUUUGAAUAUUGGAGCAAUUAGAUUUAGAAAUUGAAUGGAAAAUUAUCGAUAAACAUGUUGGAAUAUGAAAAUCAAAUCUUCCUUGAAAUCCUUCAGGAGGAUGGGUUAGUUAUUACAGCUAAAGGUCUUGGUUUAGAAACCGUUUUCGCAAAUGUGAUAAAAGCGUACUCAGAUCCAGGUAAUUUAGUUAUAGUCCUAGGAACCACUGAGCACGAUGAGCGUUACAUUAUUGGUCUGCUUACAAGUUAUGGAACGAGUAAAUUACCGCGUGUAAUCAAUGCCGAAUGUUCUUCUAAUGAAAGGGAAACAAUAUAUUUGGAGGGUGGAGUACUGUUUAUAUCGGGUCGUAUCUUGGUGGUAGAUUUGUUAAAAAAUAGAGUUCCGCUACAUCUGGUCACCGGUAUUCUUGUCUAUAGAGCACACAACAUUCAAAAUGCUUAUCAAGAGGCAUUUGCAUUGCGUUUAUAUAGACAAAAUAAUAAGACUGGUUUUAUCAAAGCGUUCACAAAUUCGUCGCUGGCUUUUACAGUUGGAUAUAUGAAAGUGGAACGAGUUAUGAAAACUCUAUUUGUGAAGAAAUUAUAUUUAUGGCCGCGUUUCCACACAACUGUUAAUAAUUGCUUGUCCAAGCACGAGCCCGAUGUUAUAGAACUUCAUGUACAAAUCACGCCAAAGAUGCAGAACAUUCAAACCACUUUGCUCGAUGUUAUGAAUUAUAUUGUAAAAGAAUUGAAGAGGCUAAAUAAAUAUUUAGACUUGGAGGAAUUAACUGUAGAGAAUGCAAUAGCAAAAAAGUUCCACAAACAAUUACAUUUGCAAGUAGAUCCAAUUUGGCAUCAACUCAGUACAACGACCAAACAAUUGUUUUCCGAUUUAAAAACAUUACGUUCUCUCAUUAUAUCUUUGACGUACGAAGAUUCCGUUUCAUUUUACGUUAUGCUAAAUCGUUUACGAACUAUGGAAUAUGCCAUGAAAUCCGGUGGUUGGAUAAUGAUGGAUGAAUUUGAGAACCUGGUUAAAUAUGCUAAAAGUAGAGUUUAUACGGAUAAAAAUGAACUGAAACCAGAACCGAAUCCAAAGUGGCAAGCUUUAUCAGAAGUCCUGUUUGAGAUUCAGGAACAAAAAUAUAAGAAAAAGGACUACGAAAAUAUUGAUAAAGUUCUCAUCUUGGUACACGAUAACAAUAUAUGUCGCCAAUUAAAAAAUUAUUUAACUAUGGGUGCAAAUGAAUACUUACUUUAUGAGGCUCUCAAAAAAUUAUCGCAUAGUAAAGAACAAAAGACAAGUGGAAAGAGUACAAAAGAUCAACCAUCGACUUCUGAAAGUAAUACAGAUGAAGAAUUGCAAGAAGUUCAAGAUACCUAUGUGCUUACCUUAUCGCAAAAAUGCGCAGAAGGUACUCAACCAAGUACCUCUACUGAAGAUAUAAAACAUCAGACAUUGUUUGAAGAAUGUUCGCAAAUUGCAGAUUUGGAUUUAACUAGAGAGACUUAUGCGGCGUCCGCACCUAUCGUUUUCAUACAAGCUAUAAAGAAAGGAGGAGAUCCAAUGGCUUUACAACGAAUGUUAACUGAGCAUAUACCGAAUAAUAUUAUUUUGUAUGCAACUGAUAUUGGUGUCGUGAGACAAUUAGAGGUAUAUCAGAAUAAUAAUCCAUCAUUAAAUUUGAAGAUAUAUUUCUUAAUUUAUGGCGGGUCAGUUGAAGAACAAGAAUAUCUCACUUCCUUACGACGGGAAAAAGAAGCAUUUCAUUCUUUAAUCAAUACAAAAACUACCAUGGUUGUACCAGAAGAGCAAGAUGGAAAAUCAGAUGACUGCUUAGCUCUUACAAUUCAAUCAGAUGACACGAAUCAGGACAACACACGUAAGGGAGGGAUGCAAUCUGAAGCCAACAUAAUUCCAAAAGUUAUUGUUGAUAUGAGAGAAUUUAGAAGUGAGUUACCAGCCAUGUUGUACACACGUGGUAUGAAAAUCGAGCCAGUAACAUUAGUGGUAGGUGAUUAUAUUCUAACACCGGAAAUAUGUGUUGAGAGGAAAAGUGUAUCUGAUUUGAUAGGUUCUUUACUUUCUGGGAGAUUGUAUAAUCAAACAGUUUCUAUGACAAGACAUUACGCUAAGCCUAUGCUUCUCAUAGAAUUUGAUCAGAAUAAGCCAUUCAGUUUUCAGGGAAAUUAUUAUGUUAGUAGAGAUCUUAAAAAUACUGAGAUAACAGCCAAAUUACAAUUAUUAACCCUUCAUUUCCCUAAACUAAAAAUUGUGUGGUCUCCUAGUCCCCAAGCUACAGCACAAUUGUUUGAAGAAUUAAAGUUGUAUGUUUUUAGCAAGGACGAGAGCAGCCUGAUCCAAAUGUAGCUGCUAAAAUUGGAGCAGACGAAGAUACAGAAAACAAGCAAAUAAUGUUAGAAAAAUAUAACACUCACAUCCAAGAUUUUAUAGCUAAAUUACCAGGUGUGCAUUCAAAAAAUUUGCGCACGCUAUUGAAUAAAGGAGAAUCGUUAGAUCAUCUUAUCAAAUUGUCACAAGAAGAGCUAAAAGAAAUUCUUGGAAAUAAAAAUGAUGCUGAAUCAUUAUAUAAAGCUCUACAUGAAAAAUGUUUACCAACGGGUGAAAGUUCAGGAAUUAGCAAAGGUGUUUCUAAAGUACGAGGUAAAAGACUUUUCUCCAGAAUAAAAAAAUAAUGUAAAUGAUAUAUCCUAAUAAAUAUUUAGUACAACAUUUCAAGGUUUAGUAACUGAAUAUUAUUACAAUUCAACAAAUGUAUUUUGUGAACUAUAUUAGAAAAUACUUAUGUUAUUAUGUUAUUUUGGAUACAAUUAGGAAAAUGUAACCUAUUAAGAAAAAGUAUUAUAGAUAAAUUUAUUAUAUUGUAACAACACAAAUAUGUAAGAUUUUAAUACAUAAAGAUGUAAUAUAGUAUUUUACAAGAUAA